GACGAACGCUGGCGGCGCGCUUAACACAUGCAAGUCGUGCGGUGUCGAAGGCAAGUCUUACGACAAGCCUUCGACACAGCGGCGAACGGGUGAGUAACACGUGAGUAGCUGUCCUAAGGAGGGGGAUAACGCCUGGAAACGGGUGCUAACACCCCAUAUGCCUCGCAAGAGGUGAAAGUGUACUUGCUACAGCCUUAGGGUGUGCUCGCGGCCUAUCAGCUAGUUGGUGAGGUAACGGCUCACCAAGGCCAAGACGGGUAGCCGGCCUGAGAGGGUGUACGGCCACACUGGAAUUGAGAUACGGUCCAGACUCCUACGGGAGGCAGCAGUGGGGAAUCUUGGGCAAUGGGCGAAAGCCUGACCCAGCGACGCCGCGUUGGGGAUGAAGCCCUUCGGGGCGUAAACCCAUGUUGUAGGGGACGAAGAAAGUGACGGUACCUACGAGAAAGCCCCGGCCAACUACGUGCCAGCAGCCGCGGUAAAACCACGUAGUAGUCGUCUCGUAGACGGCG
rnacentral:rRNA from 1 species